UGUUCGCGGGUCUCUUCCUUGACAUCCAUGGAAUAAAAGUCUUCACCCAUGCCGCGCCUUCCCCUCGUCAGCUACAACAAAGCCACCGGUUACUCCUCUCCUCUCCCAAGCUAACCCAUGUGUCUCCUCCGUUCUCAAUCCUAACACUAAUCCUAACCCUAACGAUCGCCAUGGACGCUGCUCGGCUCCUCACCCCCAGCUUCUCUUCACCCAUUCGAUCCCCUUCUUGUCGACCUCUAUCCUUUCUCUCCGGCGCCUUCCGAAGUCCCAGCCUGUUCUCUCCAUUUCGAACCGGACAUCGCCGGAACCUGUGUUUGACCUGCGCGGCGGAGACCCUGGUCACCGGAUCGCGGAGGGAGGAAGGGAGCUCACAUGUGCUCCGAGGCGAGAAAAGAGCGGAGACCGGAGAUCUUAAGUCUUGGUUGCACGCGCACGGCUUGCCGCCGUGCAAGGUUGUUCUCAAGGAGAGGGCUUCUCACGGCGGAAGGCAGCGGCCGAUACGUUAUAUCGCGGCAAGCAAAGAUCUUGAGGCUGGAGAUGUGUUAUUCUCAAUUCCGAACUCUUUGGUGGUAACUCUGGAUAGAGUUCUUGGAAACGAGACGAUUGCGGAACUCUUAACAACAAACAAGCUAUCAGAAUUAGCCUGCUUGGCACUAUAUCUCAUGUAUGAGAAAAAACAGGGCAAAAAGUCUUUCUGGUAUCCCUUCAUUAGGGAGCUUGAUCGUCAACGAGGAAGAGGCCAGCUAGCUGUGGAAUCACCACUUCUAUGGUCUGAAACUGAACUGGCUUACCUGGAUGGCAGUCCUACAAGGGCUGAACUUCUUGAAAGGGAUGAAGGAAUAAAAAGAGAGUACAAUGAGCUUGAUACAGUCUGGUUCAUGGCUGGCUCAUUGUUCCAGCAAUACCCUUUUGACAUUCCCACUGAAGCUUUUCCGUUUGAGAUUUUCAAGCAGGCAUUCGUUGCAAUUCAAUCUUGUGUCGUUCAUUUGCAGAAAGUCAAUUUGGCUCGAAGGUUUGCCUUAGUUCCUUUGGGGCCACCAUUGUUGGCUUACAAGAGCAACUGCAAAGCAAUGCUAACUGCUGUCAGCGAUGCUGUUGAGUUGGUGGUUGAUCGUCCAUUUAAGGCUGGGGAACCAAUUGUUGUAUGGUGUGGACCACAACCAAAUUCAAGGUUGCUUCUCAAUUAUGGUUUGGUCGAUGAAGAUAAUCCAUAUGACCGCAUAGCAGUUGAGGCAUCCCUGAAUAUGGAAGAUCCUCAAUACCAAGAAAAGAGAAUGGUUGCUCAAAGAAAUGGAAAGCUGGCUGUCCAAGUUUUUCAUGUGUUUGUGGGAAGAGAAAAAGAAGCUAUAUCAGAAAUGCUGCCUUAUAUGAGAUUAGGGUAUGUUUCAGAUCCAACAGAGAUGCAAUCAGUUAUUUCUUCUCAGGGUCCUAUCUGUCCUGUGAGCCCGUGCAUGGAGCGAGCAGUAUUGGACCAACUUGUAGGUUAUUUUGAGGCUAGGUUGGCGGGCUACUCUACAACCUUGAGUGAGGAUGAAGAUAUGCUGAGAGAUGGCCAUUUGGAUCCAAAGAAGCGAGUUGCAGUUCAGCUUGUAAAGUUAGAAAAGAAAAUGCUACAUGCCUGUCUUCAGGCUACGUUUGAAUUCAUAAAUCAAUUACCAGAUCACACUGUAUCUCCCUGUCCUGCUCCUUUUGCUCCUCAAUUGAAAUAAUAGUCCUUUUCCUUGCAGAACCAGCUAUCCUUAUCACCUGUCUAAUAUGAUUAUGUAAGCCAAGCAAGUCAAUCAUAACAUUUUAGCUUUGACCAAUUGGAUUGCCUGGGGGGCGUACUAUUCAGGCUGGCUGAUCUCUGGUGCUGCUGUAAUCUAGAAGAUUUUGAGCUGUGAUUGCUUUAAUGGUGGAUUGCAUACAGGCAGAUGAUCACGAUGUAUGUAGAAGGACCAAAUUGGGACCCUUGUGCGGUUCAUCGAUGGUCCGUAAAAUCUGGUUAUUCCAAGGUUGGAAGAUCUGAUGUGAUAUUGGUUAUCGUGUGUAAGUCUAGGUCAAAUCUUUCUCAAUUCAAUUUGUUGAAGUGAUACUUUUUGGGUUCUGUUUUGUUCCUCUUACCUCGCUGCUAUGUUGGCUAACUUGUACAUAAACAAAUACUGAGGGGAAGAAAAGAGUUGCAUCUUGAAGGGUGACUACUAGCAUAGCUUUUCACAAUUCAAAUGGGUUAUUCUCCUCCGCGAAUUGCCAC